GCCUGGGUGGUUCAGUCGGUUAAGCGUCUGACUUUGGCUCAGGUCAUGAUCUCAUAGUCUGUGAGUUCAAGCCCCACGUCAGGCU
rnacentral:tRNA from 1 species